AGAGGUAGCUCAGUGGUAGAGUGCUUGCCUUGCAUGCACAUACUUGAAGUUAGGGGGUUGGAGAUAGAGGUAGCCCUGGGUUCAAUUUCCAGCAUACCUA
rnacentral:tRNA from 1 species